UGAACAUUUAUGGGACCAAUUGAAAGGA
rnacentral:sRNA from 1 species